AUGGCGCUCCUACCACGGCUGUUCCUGUUCGGAGUUUGCGCCGUAGCGCUGGCGAUCGGCCUCGCGAACGCUGUGCACGGCGAGGCGGCGCCGGUCGUGGUCGGCCUGGCCAGGUGCUCGGACUGCACAAGGAAGAACAUGAACGCCGAGGCAGCUUUCAAAGGUCUCCAAGUUGCUGUCAAGUGUAAGAAUGGCAAGGGCGAGUACGAGAGCAAGUCCGUGGGGCCUGUGGACAAAUCCGGCGCCUUCAGCGUCCCCCUGGACGUCGGCCUCGUCGGGGACGGCGGCGAGCUGAAGCAGGACUGCUUCGCGCAGCUCCACAGCGCGUCUGGCGCGCCGUGCCCCGGGCAGGAGCCCUCCAAGAUCGUCGCGGCACGGCCCGGCCGCGACGGCCAGACGACCUUCGUCGCGCUCGCCGGCGAGGUGCACCAACCUUCAGCUGAGUGCGCAUCCGCGUUCCUGUGCCAUCCUCUGCACAAGCACCACCUGUUCGUCUUCCACAAGCCCGUGACUGUCCCUCCCAAGCACGAUCAUGACCAUGACCACGACCACGACCAUGAUCACGACCACGACCACGAUCACGAUCAUGGCCACGAUCACGAUCACGAUCUCGCGCCUGCAGUCAAGCCGCCAACGACGCCGGUGUACACGCCGACGGCGCCAACCCCGACGCCGAUCUACCACCCCCGGGCCCAGCGUGACGCCGUCACUGAGCCACAACUCUUCAAGAAGAUGCUCCCGUUCCUCAAGAAGCUGCCGUUCUUUCCUCCUGCCAAGCAGAGCGGCGGCAAGCCGUAG
rnacentral:rRNA from 1 species